rnacentral:tRNA from 1 species
GACAAGCUUGGCCGAGGCGGUUAAGGCGAUAGACUCGAAAUCUAUUGGGGAAACCCGCGUGAGUUCAAAUCUCACAGCUGUCG